GCAAUUUUUCCCAGGUUCUCCUCCUCCUCCUCCUUCUCUGUUUCGCCCUCCUGCAACUUCUCCUCCUCCUCUUCUAUGUUCCGCCCUCCUGCAAUAUUUCUUGCAAUUUUUCCCAGGUUCUUCUCCUCCUUCUAAUUCUCUGUUCCGCCCUCCUGCAAUUUUUCUUCUUCUUCUCUCACUGUUCUGCCCUCCUCCUCCUAUUUUUCUUCCAAUUUUUUUUUCAAUUGAUUGCAAAUUUGUGUUUUAAUUAAAAUUUUAGGGUUUUCAGUUUUCAGAUCUAAAAAAAUUAAAAUUUGAUCUGUAUGUUAUUUUUUUGCUUGUGCGCCCUGAGUUGGGUAUGUUGCAAAUUCAAACCCAGUUGAAGAAAUGGGUUAGGAGAUUUUUCCAACUUCUUGGCUUUUUGGUGAAUUCAUAAUAUCAUGCAUACUGGGUUCGUGUGCUGGUUUGGCUGCAGGAAGGUCUGGAGAGCAGAUCCAAGGAUGAAAUUCACUAGUAAAAAUUUGUUUUUUUUUUCCUAUUUUCUUGAAUCAUCAAUUGUUUUAUCCGAUAGAGUGUUAAAUCAAAUUUGAAAGGUGGGUUUUGCUGGGUUUCUUGUUGCUGCCUUUGUGGUGGGGUUUGGUUUAGGGGAGCACACGAAGAAGAAGGGAGGGAGAGAGAGGGACGGAGUUUGUUUUGGGGGGGAUGUGAUUUCAGUUUUUUUUUUAUUUAAUUUAAUUUUUAUUUUUAUUUUAAGUUUGAUUCAUCAGGUAUAAUAGCAAACACAGUAUAAAUAAUACGGUCAUUAGUCCGAUACUGCACCAAACGCCCGACUAAUUUAGUCAGUACUAUCCGGUGACUAAUUAUCCUAUCCGACAGAAAUAGUCAGUACAGUCCGAGCUGCCAAACGAGACCUAAAUGUAUUAAUUACAUAUAUGUAUUGUAGCCAACUCCAAAAAAAAAAAUUCUCACAUAAAAUCUUUUUCUUUUUCCCAAAAACAAUGUCAACAAUUAAUUGAAAUCAACAUCAUUUCUAAUUUCAAAUCAUUUAGUAAAUAACUUUAUUACGAAUAAACAUGCCCCAAAAUCAAAUCAAAUCAAAUCAAAUCAAAUCAAAUCAUAUGCCCCAAAAUCAGCAAAAAAAUGGGAGUUGGCUUGAUAGUGAAGGUUAUCAAAUUUUGGCUGCAGAAAUAAGAGCCAAAUUGAUUGGUCUAAAAAAGAAAAAAUUGGACUUUGUGGAGUCAAAAUUUUUUUUUUGACAGACAAAAUUUGAAAACUUAAAUUUAUAUCCUUUUAAGAUAAUUGUAAUGAAGGGAAAUGAUCACAAUUAAAAAUAUAUGGAAAACAGAAUUGGGAGUUGGCUUGAAUAAGAUAUCCCGCCAAAUUGAUUAGUCUAAAAAGGAAAAAUUGGACUUUGUGGAGUCAAAAAAAAAAUGACAGACAAAAUUUGAAAAUUUAAAUUUAUAUCCUUUUAAGAUAAUUGUAAUGACGGGAAAUGAUCACAAUUAAAAAUAUAUGGAAAAAAGAAUUGAAUAAUAAUAAAAGUCCAG
rnacentral:lncRNA from 1 species